rnacentral:rRNA from 1 species
GACGAACGCUGGCGGCGUGCCUAAUACAUGCAAGUAGAACGCUGAAGGAGGAGCUUGCUCUUCUGGAUGAGUUGCGAACGGGUGAGUAACGCGUAGGUAACCUGCCUGGUAGUGGGGGAUAACUAUUGGAAACGAUAGCUAAUACCGCAUAAUAACAGUUGUUGCAUGACAACUGUUUGAAAGGUGCAAUUGCAUCACUACCAGAUGGACCUGCGUUGUAUUAGCUAGUUGGUGGGGUAACGGCUCACCAAGGCGACGAUACAUAGCCGACCUGAGAGGGUGAUCGGCCACACUGGGACUGAGACACGGCCCAGACUCCUACGGGAGGCAGCAGUAGGGAAUCUUCGGCAAUGGACGAAAGUCUGACCGAGCAACGCCGCGUGAGUGAAGAAGGGUUUCGGAUCGUAAAGCUCUGUUGUAAGAGAAGAACGAGUGUGAGAGUGGAAAGUUCACACUGUGACGGUAGCUUACCAGAAAGGGACGGCUAACUACGUG